GCUUACGACCACACCGGCCUGAGUACGCCUGAUCUCGUCUGAUCUCGGAAGCUAAGCAGGGUCGGCCUGGUUAGUACUUGGAUGGGAGACCCCUGGGAAUACCAGGUGCUGUAAGCU
rnacentral:rRNA from 1 species